CCGCUGCGAGCAGCCCCGCAGGGCACAGGGUUCCUCGGCCCUCAUGGAAGAGCAGAGGGUGCAGCUUUUGCAAGGGCCUGGGGGAAACUGAGGGCACAGCUACAGGGGUGCAGUCACACCACCAUAGCGAUAGUGGUAUCCCUGCCCAUGUGGCUGUACCCCAAAAUGUGUCCACCGGGCAGGAGUUACACUGCAUAACUUGGGCAGUACCAGCAUGCUGAUUAUUGGAUGGAAAGUGCUGGACAAUGUGUUAAUUAUUAUGAUGAUGCUUCAUUGAACGAAAGAAGAAGGACUUAGGGAAAAGCUCAAGAACAGAACUCAUGAAGUUUCAUCACUGCUUUGGCCGUGUUGCUCGUACCAUCCUCUCUGUGCAGCUUAAUUACCACAGGGUCCAGACAUGCAGUGGCUACAGCAUCAAACUGGGGCACAGCAUUCAACGUCUCCACCUAGCACAUUAAUCCACUCCCUACAAAUGGCUGCAAUCCUUUGCUCCAGUACAUCACUGAAUAGCUCCUCAAGAAUUUCCCUGGGUGUUUAGCCUGACCUACCGAGAAGGAAGAGACAGACUUGUGGAUUGUGAAUGUUGGGAAUAUUCAGCACCGGCUAUAAAAAGAUUUAACUGUUCUCAAUGAAACCUCACUCCCCUCCUCCAAAUCCCUCCUUAAGACUCACUUAUCUUGACUAGCUUUCCAAUGCUAAUCUCAAUUCCAUCACCUCUUCCUUCUGACUGACUUCCUCAAACUAACAUUAUAUUUUAACUUACUGAAAAAAAAAGAGAAAAAAAAAGAGGAAGCAACAAGAUGCGAACACAAGAUUUUUGUAACUCUGGAGUAGUCUAGUUUUCUCCCGACACAACCCUUUAUUUGUCAUUCUUUGAUUCAUUUUGGCUAAUCGAAGCUGUGACCUCACUAGCAUAUUUCUUUAAACUCUUCCAUUGUUGCAUUACCACUUAUGCAAUUCCACCGGUGGAAGCUACUGUAGGUUGAUCACCUGCCUUUUCACCACCGUAUUGUCUAACCCCUGCUUGCAGUAUGAAUGCUGAGCUAGUGAUCAGCACUAGUGCUUUCACUGUGGCUACCAUCAAUGGAUCUACACUGGUACUACAACAAUGGCAGAUUUAAGUGAAAUGCCUGUGUACACAAGGCUUUAGGGUCUGGGCUAGUGUGGUUUUGAGUACUUAUUGCAAGGUGUACAAUGCCCUCAAUUCCAAUUGACUUCUAUAGCAGUGAGAGUUCUGAGUACCUCACAGGGGCUGCUUACAACCUGUACACCUCAGUUUCUGUCUUCUCGAUUUGUCUGAAAAAUUCAUGACCAUCUAUCCUGCUGUAUGGAUACUAAUAACAACAGCAUAUCCUCCCUUCUGGUAUAAGUUCGAUGCUUGUUACAUUUCUCAUUGCGGUCUUUAUUGCUUGUGUCAUAUGUUCUGUAUUCAUGGAAGCUCUCUGGAUUUGUUCACAGGUAUCUGACCACUUGUCAUUAAGUAUAUACUCUUCUUAAAUCCCUCACUCACUUAAUAUUUUUUCAUCCUAACCCUUAAUGUUUCCCUAUCAGAAAUGAAUUACUGCUGGGUGAUGGUUACUUUGGAGAGUAUCUACUCCAAAGGAUUGAAAAUUUGGCGCAUCAGAGAUUCUCAGUUUAGUUUCUUCUUCUAGGAAAUGUCCUAACAGUAAGAACUUAAAGAAGUGAGUUUGGGGGAUAUUAAAUUGUUCUCCAAUGGCAUUACACUGACAAAGUCUGAAUCCUAAGAUCUUUCCACUGUCUAAAAAAAAAUUCCCUGGAAAAUUUGAGAAAAUGGUAUUAUAUUCUUAAUAAUGAUUAGUGCUUGAGCACUUGACACCAAAUACUGACAGCAGUUCUUAUUCAUGUUUCUGUUAAUGUAGAGGGAGUGUGAUAGAGUGAGGAAGGGAUUGUUAGCUGAUAGAAAGGGGAAAGAGUAUACUUUCCUAAGGGGAGCUGCUGGCUGCUCAGUGUAUCAAAAUCAGGCCACUUAUUCAGGAGCCUAAAUAUGG